rnacentral:rRNA from 1 species
UACGGAGGGUGCAAGCGUUAUCCGGAUUCACUGGGUUUAAAGGGUGCGUAGGCGGAUUAGAAAGUCCGUUGUGAAAUCUCUGAGCUUAACUCGGAAAUUGCGGUGGAUACUAUUAGUCUUGAAUACUGUGGAGGUUAGCGGAAUAUGUCAUGUAGCGGUGAAAUGCUUAGAUAUGACAUAGAACACCAAUUGCGAAGGCAGCUGGCUACACAAAUAUUGACACUGAGGCACGAAAGCGUGGGGAUCAAACAGG